CCUACGGGUGGCAGCAGUGAGGAAUAUUGGUCAAUGGACGAGAGUCUGAACCAGCCAAGUAGCGUGAAGGAUGACUGCCCUAUGGGUUGUAAACUUCUUUUAUAUGGGAAUAAAAUGUUCCACGUGUGGGAUUUUGUAUGUACCAUAUGAAUAAGGAUCGGCUAACUCCGUGCCAGCAGCCGCGGUAAUACGGAGGAUCCGAGCGUUAUCCGGAUUUAUGGGGGUUAAAGGGAGCGUAGGUGGAUUGUUAAGUCAGUUGUGAACGUUUGCGGCUCAACCGUAAAAUUGCAGUUGAGACUGGCAGUCUUGAGUACAGGAGAGGUGAGCGGAAUUCGUGGUGUAGCGGUGAAAUGCGUAGAUAUCACGAAGAACUCCGAUUGCGAAGGCAGCUCACUGGACUGCAACUGACACUGAGGCUCGAAAGUGUGGGUAUCAAACAGGAUUAGAUACCCGUGUAGUC
rnacentral:rRNA from 1 species